rnacentral:tRNA from 1 species
GGCGACACGGCCGAGCGGUUAGGCAAUGGCUUGCAGGGCCAUGCAUAUCGGUUCAAAUCCGGUCGGUGCCUCCA